UACGGAGGGAGCUAGCGUUGUUCGGAAUUACUGGGCGUAAAGCGCACGUAGGCGGCUUUGUAAGUUAGAGGUGAAAGCCCGGGGCUCAACCCCGGAACUGCCUUUAAGACUGCAUCGCUUGAAUCCAGGAGAGGUGAGUGGAACUGCGAGUGUAGAGGUGAAAUUCGUAGAUAUUCGCAAGAACACCAGUGGCGAAGGCGGCUCACUGGCCCGGUACUGACGCUGAGGUGCGAAAGCGUGGGGAGCAAACAGG
rnacentral:rRNA from 1 species